AAAAUCAGAAGCCAAUUAUAAUGAAAGAAAGGAUGAAUCACAUCUGGAUGAUCUUCUCUUUUAAGCAGAUUUACCCAGAAAUUAUUUUCAUUUAAUCAUAUAUCAUUACAUAUAUUUUUUUAAAAUUAUAUAUAAUCUCUAUUGAUGCCAGACACUGUUGCGAUUGAUAUUAGAAUGAGAGGAGCAAAGAGCUCCGACGGAGUAGAUGAUCCAUCAACUUCUUCCGCCAAGAAAAACUCUGAGAAACCCAAAUAUUCAAGAUUUACACAACAAGAGCUUUCUGCCUGCAAACCCAUUCUAACUCCAGGAUUGGUGAUUGCAUCUUUCACCAUUUUUGGUGUUGUGUUCCUCCCUCUCGGCCUUGCCUCCUUGUUUGCUUCCCAAAGUGUGGUGGAGAUUGUUGAUCGCUAUGACAAAGACUGCGUUCCUGGUAGUUUUAGCAAUACCCCACUUGAAUAUAUUCAGAACAGCAAAGCAGACAAAACUUGUACUAGAAAAUUAACUGUGCCCAAGCAAAUGAAAAAUCCUGUUUAUAUAUAUUAUCAACUUGAUAAUUUCUACCAAAAUCAUCGCCGAUAUGUAAGGAGCAGAAGUGACAAACAAUUGCAAAGCAAGAAUAGCGAAAAUGUAGUGAGCGCAUGUAGCCCUGAAGAUAUAGAGAAUGGGAAGCCAAUAGUGCCUUGUGGCCUUGUUGCUUGGAGUUUAUUUAAUGAUACAUAUGUAUUUAAAGUUGCAAACAAGGCCUUGGAUGUUAAUAAAAAAGACAUUGCCUGGAAAAGUGACAAAGAACAUAAAUUUGGUUCUGAUGUCUAUCCUAAAAAUUUUCAGACUGGUGACUUAAUCGGAGGUGGAACCUUGAAUUCAAGCAUACCGUUAAGUGAACAAGAAGAUCUUAUAGUUUGGAUGCGUACGGCAGCAUUGCCCACUUUUCGAAAACUGUAUGGAAAGAUAGAAGCAGACCUUCAAGCAAAUGAUGAAAUUGAAGUGCAAAUACAAAAUAACUAUAAUUCUUAUGGUUAUGGGGGCAAAAAGACGCUAGUCCUUUCGACAACUACUUGGAUUGGAGGAAAAAAUGAUUUUCUUGGCAUUGCAUAUCUGUGUAUUGGUGGAUUAAACUUGCUCCUUGCAAUAGGCUUCAUACUUAUUUACGUUUUCAAGCCAAGGCCUUUGGGAGAUCCAAACUACUUGUCUUGGAACAAAAACACAACAGCAAGUGCAAAUUAGGCAGCUUUAACAAUUUAUCAUUCAUAAAACAAGUGAAAUGAUAUGUAAUUGAGAAUGGAAACCAGUUUUCAGGCUUGUGUUCGUUUUAGCGGCCGACGAUAAACAUGAUUAAUUUUCGCUCGCUCUCGGAGGCAAAGGGGUUGCCCAACGGGAGUUUGCAUCGUGGAUGAUCAAUUCUACAAGUGUCCUUUGCUACUGAGCUACCUAUUUGAGUUAGAAAUAUGAAUCUUUGUUCCAACUUUUUUAAUGGGUAUAAUUUUUUUUUUCUUUUUUAACUGUUCAGUACCAUAGUAUCUUUAUUGGACUAUGGCAAUUAUUAUGUUUCCUUUCUCUCA